rnacentral:ncRNA from 1 species
GCUAACUAGCUAUGCGGAGCCAUCCCUCCUCAGCUAGCUUCUUAGAGGGUCUAUCGCUGUUUAGGCGACAGAAGUUUGACGCAAUAACACGUCUGUGAUGCCCUUAGCUGUUCUGGGCCGCACGCGCAUUACACUGAUGUAUUCAACGAGUAUAUAGCCUUGGCCGACAGGCCCGGGUAAUCUUGGGAAAUUUCAUCGUGAUGGGGAUAGAUCAUUGCAAUUGUUGGUCUUCAACGAGGAAUGCCUAGUAAGCGCGAGUCA